CUCAUCCCCUCGCACUUCGUUUUCCCCGACCUCGACUCCCUCGCCCAUGGCGACCCCGCUCCGCCGCUACUCGUGCGAUUCGGCGCCGCAAACCGUAGAAUGGAUGAGCGCCAUUGCCGAAUUUCUCCGCCCUUACAAGCCACUCAUGGACGCCCACGUCGUCAACUUCUUCAAGGAUAGGUUGUGGGAAUUGGUGGACGAGGAGUGGAUGGAAUGUCUCCGGAAGGAAUCUGUUGAGAUUUUACUGAAGUUGCCAUCGGGAUUUGUUCGGGACUACUGGCCCGGAUCCCUGCAAGAAUUUGUACUUAAGCUGAGGUCUCUCGCUGUUCAUCGGGAGCCAGUUUCACAUCCGAUUCUACACAAUUUGCACAUGGCGUCACUUGGUACUGUCAUUGCUCAGGGCAUGAAUUCAAAGAAGAAGCAUGAAGUAGAAAUUCUCACUGGCGUAAUUAGCAGGAUUGCUGGUGAUUACGGAGCUGAAACAAUUAUUGAUGUAGGUUCUGGUCAGGGUUAUCUUGCACAAGUGCUGGCUUUUGAGUAUCACUUCUCUGUGAUAGCAAUUGACGCUUCUUUGCACCAUGCAGCUGUUACAAAUUCUCGUGCAGAGAGAAUAAAGAAGCAUUAUGCGGCUAGAUGUGCAGAGAAUCAACAUCUGAAAGUGCCAAAAACUGUCACUUGCCAUGUUCUAUCAAGUGAAUCCUUGACCUCAUUUAGUACUGCUGUAAUACCUGAAAAUAGAGCUGAACAGUGUAUUGAGCCUUCAUUGGUUCUCGCUGGACUUCAUGCUUGUGGAGACCUUUCAGUAAACAUGCUAAGGGCAUUUAUUGACUGUGAGCGGGUUAAAGCAUUAGUAAGCAUUAGCUGUUGUUACAACUUACUAUCUGAAGAAAGCUGCGAGAAGAUCAGCGCAUCUUCUGGAUUUCCGAUAAGCAGUGCUGCUAAAUUAUCUUCCUUAAUCCUUGGAAAAAGCAUGCGCGAUCUUGCUUGUCAGAGUGCAGAACGAUGGAGAAAUCUUACGCAAGAAAUUGCUCUUCAGAAUUUUGAUGUUCAUGCCUUUCGUGCUGCUUUUCAAAUGCUUCUUGAGAAGCACUUUCCAGAGGUCCUAAAAUCCAGUCCAUCAAUUGGCCGCCAAGGGAAAGCUCUACGUCGUCAAAGAUUUAGGAGAGUGCUAGAAUCUCAUUUGGUUGCGGAGGCAAGUGACAACUUUCCUUCUGCUUCCAAGGAACAAUGUGUGGUUGAAGCUAGUAAACCUGUGGAGACUGAAGAGGUUGAAGCUGUUGUUGGAUGUUGCAAUCACUUUGAGCCAACAGACAUCACAUGUGCAACCUUGGAUUUUCCUAGCCAACUCGGUGUGACCGACUCUCUUGGAAAGCCUGAUAAGUACAUGCUUUUCAAAGAGUUUAGCAAAUCUGGACUAGGCCGACUUGGUUGUGGGACCUUACAAGAUGCUGAUUUCUGUGAAAUAUGGAAGGAUGUGCUACCUUUCUGUGAACUUAUAGGUCCUUUUUGGUCUCUUCGGGCUGCUUUAGGUCCGGUGGUGGAAACUUAUAUUUUACUAGAUAGAUUAUUAUUCCUUCAAGAGCAAAGCAAUUCAGUUGAAGCAGUGUUGGUUCCUAUAUUUGAUCCUAUUUUAUCGCCAAGAAAUAUGGCAAUAAUUGCUCGGAAGACUGAUGCAGAUUCACCUAGACUGUGACAUGGUGGGUUGCGGCAAGUUGGUUUUUACUAUUUUUGGCUACCAAUACUGCAUUCUCUUUUGAUGUGGUGAUCUAGCAAGUUGUACUUGCUAUUGCUGAUAUUGAAUCCAAAGGUCUCCACGUCAUCAGCCACCACUUAUCCAUCGAGCCACACAAUCUAUUGAUAUUUAUUAGUAAUAUGAUAUCACCCAUCGGAGAAAGAAGCGUGUGGAGGUUGACUCAAAUUGGGUAUCCACUGAAGAUGUCUUAGUAUAUACUGCUUGGGCAUGCCAUUUUGUAGCUUUUAUGGAGUAUGAUAGUAUUUCCAUGGCUCGUGUGGUCAUGGAAAGUGAUGUACCUUUAUUGUAUUUGGAUGUUUUGUUCUUUCUUGCCAAAGAAUUUUUAUUAGACUGGGUGCAACUCAGUUGAAUUUAUUUCUCCCUUGUGCAGGCCCGGCCCACUAAUUGUGGGCUUUGAGAAGGGGCCCAGUUGAUUCAAUUAUCUAUUGGAUUUGUCGUGAGUUUUAUCUGGUUCCAGGUUCUGUAUCAUUUGGCCUCGUUUAGCUCUAUGAGAUGAGGACAACUGUGGAGGUCGUGGUCAUGGGUGAAAAGGAUGGUGCCUCUCUAUAGUGCUGUGGAGAUUAUUCUGCAUAAUAACCAAGGAACUUCAGAGCCGUCAGGCUUCAUCUCUCUUGUCUCGAGAAAUUGUUGCCUCGACCUAAUCUAUCACUUCAGCUUUGAACCGGUUCUCUCGUCUGCAUCCAUCAAUCUCAACUUUGGUUCCUCACGAUCCAUCCUCAAAACAAUCAACUUUAAUUUGAUGAAAGGUUUCAAUUCCUUUGGCGGCGGCGAUAAAAGUGGAGGUGGAUAUUGGGUGGGAGUUAAGAGAACCGGUCGAUGACUGAAGUGGUGAACCAGUUCCAUGCAAUAAUUUCUUCUUGCACUCUUGUCUCUUCAAGCCUUAUCCUUUUGCACACACCUGGACUCAUCCUAGAAGGUCUCGUGUCAUCAAAUCUUAUACUUUUAAUUGAAAGAGCCAACAUCUGAAGUGAUCUUCUCUGGAGAUCGACCAGGAAACUGUUCCUUGUCUUCUGGUUAAUGUGCUGGUUUCACCACAGCCGAUCAACUCAUACGUAGUGCUACGUAGCAUUUACUCGCUUUCUCUUUCCAUACUUUUUGUUUGUUUGCAGCAGUGCCCUGUUAGCUCAAUUAGGAAGCUCCAAGGUCUCAACCAAUUGACUGCAACAGCGUAGGUGGCGGCUGUGACCGCUACAAAUUUUACGCCGCGUGGAGGGGGCCGGAUAUGCGCAUUGGUUAGCUCUAUGACCCCUGCCUUUUGUUUGUUUCGGUAUGGAUGGUGAUCUUAAUACGACAAAAUACUACUGAUAGAGUAGGUAUGUUGAAUCUCAAUGCAUCUCUGUAUCGUAUAUUGUUGGUUGGGUAAAUGCUAUUCUUACAAACAACUUCUACAAUAAUUUAUUUAUAAAUUUUAAAACUUAGUGGUUAGAUUUUAUUCUUUGCCUUGUUAAUUACAACAAUCACCUCGUUGUUGAUAUCAUUUUACUAGUUAAAUCUGAUACAUGCCUAAGAAUUCGUUUGUGAGUACAGUAUUACUGUAUUGGCUGCUUGCAAUGUAGUUGGAGAAUCUGGAUAGGUACGCGCAAAAUCGAAGUGGGAUUUUGUGCAGGAUCAAUCAUUAAGCUUAUCGCCCUAACAUGGGCGGAUGCAUCGAAUGCGCCUAGUCAGCAGGCCGUGCGCCUAAUCAGCAGGCCACGCGAGUUGCCAAUAUUUUGGAAGUCUUGGUUGAUGGCAAUAAGACGGUCCAAAGUCUUUCCUCAGAAAUAAAGAAAAGCUUCCAGACAAAAGACGGACCCGAGUCCCUGUCACCGAAAAAGCUUCCUCUGCGUGAUAUUACAACUGGCGUCGAAGAAGCUCGGAUUUGACGCGGCUCCAAUCAAUUGCCAAAAUGUACGUUCAAUUUCAAACCGAGCCGAUUCGGUGAGGGCUCGCCCCAGCUCGGUCCGUUUUACACCCCUGAUUACAAGUACUAGUUUGUCGUAACGGAAGAGCAUCCUAUGCGUGAUGAGCAAUGGAGAUUAGCAGUAUACUGUAUGCCUAAGCAUAUGAAAGAUGGGUAAAUUGCCCUCAAAACUGCGAGGCGGUGGUAUUUUGGUUCUCAAAUUUUAAUUUGUUAUAAUUUUUAGCUUGAAUUUUUAAAAUUAUUAUAAUCAAGUUAUAUAAUGUAAUUUAGCUGACUAAGCAUUAAUUUUUGGCA